rnacentral:rRNA from 1 species
AGUGAACGCUGGCGGUAGGCCUAACACAUGCAAGUCGAACGGCAGCACAGGAGAGCUUGCUCUCUAGGUGGCGAGUGGCGGACGGGUGAGGAAUACAUCGGAAUCUGCCCAGUCGUGGGGGAUAACGUAGGGAAACUUACGCUAAUACCGCAUACGACCUUCGGGUGAAAGAGGGGGAUCGCAAGACCUCUCGCGAUUGGAUGAGCCGAUGUCGGAUUAGCUGGUUAGCGGGGUAAUGGCCCACCAAGGCGACGAUCCGUAGCUGGUCUGAGAGUAUGAUCAGCCACACUGGAACUUGGACACGGUCCAGACUCCUACGGGAGGCAGCAGUGGGGAAUAUUGGACAAUGGGCGCGAGCCUGAUCCAGCCAUACCGCGUGGGUGAAGAAGGCCUUCGGGUUGUAAAGCCCUUUUGUUGGGAAAGAAAUCUUUCAGGCUAAUACCAUGGGAGAAUGACGGUACCCAAAGAAUAAGCACCGGCUAACUUCGUG